GGGACCACGAGAGGAUCAAUUUUCUGCUUUGAUUUAAGCGUAUCUUUCCUUCGGAAUUACACCCAAUAUAUAGAGUAGUUUCAAUGCCCUCUCAGCCAAGGGUAUAAAUGAGUUGAAAUGAAACGAAGAGAGCUGCUCGAAUUCGACUCAAAGCGUUAAAUUUAUAUUCGAAUUCGACUUGAAUUUGAAUUGUAUUUAAAAAAUUCUACUCGGAUUUGACUCGACUCGAAUAUUUAUUACUCGAAUUUAAUUUGACUUUGAUCGAAUUAUAUUCAAACUACUUGCGAGU
rnacentral:lncRNA from 1 species